rnacentral:rRNA from 1 species
NNNUACGACCAUAGGGUGUGGAAAACAGGGCUUCCCGUCCGCUCAGCCGUACUUAAGCCACACGCCGGUGAGUUAGUAGUUGGGUGGGUGACCACCAGCGAAUCCUCACUGUUGUAUGUUU